AAUUCCUUAGGCGCCCAUUAUCCUUAUCCCUUCAUCUUCACAUCUCUAUUUUCUCUCUCACCUUGGCUCGUCUAUUUUUUUUUCUUCGCAGUAAUACCUCACCUCCUUCUUUUUCUCUCUGCAAGUUUACAUAAUUGUUCUCUCGACCGAGCUCUAAAUUGUUUCAAUCAGAUCACUUGAAAAAGAAAAUUCAACUAAAAGUAAAUUUCGUAAAACCCUAAUUUGUUCUUCAGCUCUAGUAUGUUGUCUGGGUUUGAAGAUUCAAUAUGAACAGGAUUUAUUAUAAGACCAAUUAUCAUCCUCACUUGGACUUCUCAACAUUUUCAGCUCUGGACAAGCUCAGGGACCUAGAGGAGGAGUAGGGACGCAGACACUAACAACCAACGAUUCCCUAGCCUAUCUCAAAGAUGUAAAGGACAUGUUUCUGGAUAGGAAGGACAAAUAUGAUGAGUUCUUGGAAGUUAUGUAAGAUUUUAAGGCUCAAAGAAUUGACACAACAUGGGUUAUAGCUAGGGGGAGGAUUUUUUUAAAGAGCAUAGAAACCUUAUUUUGGGUUUCAGUACCUUUUUUACCUGAAAGUUACUGAGCACAAAGGAGAUCGUGAUCGUGUUGAUAAGGAUCUUAAGCACAAACGAAAGUCUAGGAGGGGGUGAAGACACCAAUGACCUUUUCUCCAAGAUGGGGAAGGUCCAUAUGAUGACUAAACUGCCUUAAAGAGUGAGACAUUGGAUAUGCACUAUGGUGCUUACACCCAAGAGUUUUUGUUCUGUGAAAAAGUCAAGGAGACGCUAGGAAAUUCUGGUUUAUACCAAUAAUACCUUAAAUGCCUGAACAUGGUGGUGAUAGUAUGGAAAGCCAGUUCGAAGAAUUAGCACAAAAUCCAUAUACUAUCAUUGCAACUCCUGAUAGGCUGGCUCAAUUGAGGGCAUAGGUGGUGUACAUCAUUUGGGUGAUAGCUAUCAAUAGAUAUAUUAUGUCAUGUUUCUUAAGUUUCCUUGUUUAUUAUUGUUUGUUAGAUACAGAUAGCUACUAGGCUAGUAAUAGUAGGUUGGAUUUCAGCUUUCACAGUUUGCCUGAUAACUUUACGUGGUCACUGCAGGUUCAUCACACAUUUACAACAACUGGAUCAGAUGGUGCCUUCAAUUUUGCGACUAGGAUAGAAAACAGAGACUCAAGGUAUCCUUGUCAAUGGUAUCGACGACAAUGAUGGUGCUACGAACUAAAGAUGUUUGAAGUUCGAAGAGUUGGAUAAGCUUCAAGAUCGAGAAGUUGGAGAUUGGACUACUUAUAUUGUAAUUGUUGAUGCAUAAUUUGACAAGAGUUAGAUGAGCUUCAAGAUCGAAAAGUUGGAGAUUGGACUACUUAAGUUGUAAUUGUUGAUGCAUAAUUUGACAAGAGAGCAAAUAAGUAGGUCAGAAGUAAAAUAAUCCAACAUCUAUGAUCAAUGGGUACAAAGUACACCAUUAUGAAGUAGGAAUAAGUUCUUCAUCAUCAUCGGAGUUUAUAAUUUUGUGGUUUAAUCAAUAGUUUUUUAGUUCAUCGUUUUGUAAUCGAAUCCUAGAACUACAGAUUACACUGGUCAGAACUACAGAUUUUAAUCCUUUGUGUAAUUUGAAACCAAUGAAUCAAUGGAUGUUAAAUUGAAUGAUUA